rnacentral:rRNA from 1 species
GACGAACGCUGGCGGCGUGCUUAACACAUGCAAGUCGAACGGAAAGGCCCUGCUUUUGUGGGGUGCUCGAGUGGCGAACGGGUGAGUAACACGUGAGUAACCUGCCCUUGACUUUGGGAUAACUUCAGGAAACUGGGGCUAAUACCGGAUAGGAGCUCCUGCUGCAUGGUGGGGGUUGGAAAGUUUCGGCGGGUGGGGAUGGACUCGCGGCUUAUCAGCUUGUGGGUGGGGUAGUGGCUUACCAAGGCUUUGACGGGUAGCCGGCCUGAGAGGGUGACCGGCCACAUUGGGACUGAGAUACGGCCCAGACUCCUACGGGAGGCAGCAGUGGGGAAUAUUGCACAAUGGGCGGAAGCCUGAUGCAGCAACGCCGCGUGCGGGAUGACGGCCUUCGGGUUGUAAACCGCUUUCGCCUGUGACGAAGCGUGAGUGACGGUAAUGGGUAAAGAAGCACCGGCUAACUACGUG